AGACACCCUUAUGGGGCAAGACUUGCUUCAGUGGGGCUUUGGUGCUCACUGAGUCUGCCCCAAGUGUGACCCU
rfam:Myotis lucifugus cont2.21400, whole genome shotgun sequence.